rnacentral:lncRNA from 10 species
AAAAGCAGGAGGGGCCAGAGGGUUGGGUCUCCGCUGGGAAAACAUCCCUGGCCUACUCAUCAGAGCCUCUGGAAGUGGAUUGGUAUCCCCUCUGCUCCCAGGAAUCCAGUAAAAGUUUGCAGAGGAUGCAGCAGGUGAGUCCUGUAGACAUCAGAGGGGCUUCGACGCUGCACAGCUGCCACUCAGAGGGGACACUGCUGGCCUCGAUCACAUCAUGGAGACCACAAGGAUGCUGGGAAUGCACUUCCCAUUGGCCGAGCUGAGGAUAUGAGCAGGCCAUGGGCUGGAUGGCUCACGCGUUCAGAGGAGGGACAGCGCUUGUUGCAGAGAAUGAGAUUUAGUGUGAUGUGUAUAAAGGUGUUUCAUGGCUAAAGACCAAACAGAGACUAGUGUCUCCCACUCAGGAAGAAUAAUCACCAUGCUAAUGGAUUAAAAUUCUGUUACAUAGAAUAAUCACAGGUUUAAAUAAGACUCUGCCUGCUUUAUAAUUAUCAGUAUGUGAAAAUACACUGAAUCAAGGCUGAGUGUAGUGGCUCAUGCCUGUAAUCCCAGCACUUUGGGAGGCUGAGGCGGGAGGAUCACUUGAGGGCAGGAGUUCAAGACCAG